CUACGUGCCAGCAGCCGCGGUAAUACGUAGGUGGCGAGCGUUAUCCGGAAUUAUUGGGCGUAAAGGGUGCGUAGGCGGCCUGUUAAGUAAGUGGUUAAAUUGUUGGGCUCAACCCAAUCCAGCCACUUAAACUGGCAGGCUAGAGUAUUGGAGAGGCAAGUGGAAUUCCAUGUGUAGCGGUAAAAUGCGUAGAUAUAUGGAGGAACACCAGUGGCGAAGGCGGCUUGCUAGCCAAAGACUGACGCUCAUGCACGAAAGCGUGGGGAGCAAAUAGGAUUAGAUACCCUAGUAGUCCACGCCGUAAACGAUGAAUACUAAGUAUUGGGGAAACUCAGUGCUGCAGCUAACGCAAUAAGUAUUCCGCCUGUGGAGUAUGCACGCAAGUGUGAAACAUAAAGGAAUUGACGGGGGCCCGCACAAGCGGUGGAGUAUGUGGUUUAAUVUCGACGCAACGCGAAGAACCUUACCAGGCCUUGACAUCCCUUGCAAAGCUGUAGAGAUA
rnacentral:rRNA from 1 species